ensembl:rRNA 5S_rRNA 5S ribosomal RNA
AGAGGCUGUGGUCGCACCACCCUGAAAACACCCAAUGCUGUCAGGCCUUGGAAACUGAGCAGGGUCGGGCCUGGCUAGUACUUGGAUGGGAGAAGGACAGAAAGAAUCCAGAUAUGGGUUCUU